CCUACGGGAGGCAGCAGUAAGGAAUAUUGGUCAAUGGAGGCAACUCUGAACCAGCCAUGCCGCGUGCAGGAAGACAGCCCUCUGGGUCGUAAACUGCUUUUAUUCGGGAAUAAACCUACUUACGUGUAAGUAGCUGAAUGUACCGAAGGAAUAAGGAUCGGCUAACUCCGUGCCAGCAGCCGCGGUAAUACGGAGGAUCCAAGCGUUAUCCGGAUUUAUUGGGUUUAAAGGGUGCGUAGGCGGCUUUUUAAGUCAGGGGUGAAAGACGGUAGCUCAACUAUCGCAGUGCCCUUGAUACUGAAGAGCUUGAAUGGACUAGAGGUAGGCGGAAUGUGACAAGUAGCGGUGAAAUGCAUAGAUAUGUCACAGAACACCGAUUGCGAAGGCAGCUUACUAUGGUUUUAUUGACGCUGAGGCACGAAAGCGUGGGGAUCAAACAGGAUUAGAUACCCUGGUAGUCCACGCCCUAAACGAUGAAUACUCGCUGUUAGCGAUACACAGUUAGCGGCUAAGCGAAAGCGUUAAAGUAUUCCACCUGGGGAGUACGGUCGGCAGAUUGAAACUUCAAAGGAAUUGACGG
rnacentral:rRNA from 1 species